GGGGGCGAUUUGGAUUCGACGACGGUUGCGAACCCUAAGGUGCAUGCCGUGAUGGUAGCCAAUCACGUUAAUCAAAAGCUGCAAACUAUUAGUUGCCAAUGACGACAACUAUGGUGCUCAACUAGCUGCGUAAGCAGCCAAGUGAAGCACUUCUGGCGGAUUCGUCCACCAGCGGUCUCUAGCAAGGUGCCAGCCCCGCGCUACUGACUGUCAUAUAGAACUGGAUCGCUGCGAGGUAUGUUCUGGGCCAAGCUGCUAAACUUUUACAGAAAUCGCCAAUCACGUCCUGCCCGUUGGGCUGUGUGCGGUUAAAUUAAUUAACGGAAUCUAAGCAUGUAGAGCCGAAGGCAGAGUACUGGCGGACGCGGGUUCAACUCCCGCCGCCUCCACCA
rnacentral:tmRNA from 1 species